rnacentral:misc_RNA from 1 species
AAAAAAAAAAAAAAAAAAAGAAGAAAAAGGCAAAAAGCUUCAGAAAGUAAUUUACCAUGGCAACCUCUGCUAUCCAACACUCUGCAUUUGCUGGGCAGACCGCUUUGAAGCAAUCCAAAUGAGCUCGUCCACAAGAUUGGUUCCUUCGGCGGCGGUCGCGUUUACAUGCGCAGAACGGUCAAGAGUGCUCCACAAAGCAUUUGGUA